rnacentral:rRNA from 1 species
UACGUAGGGUGCGAGCGUUGUCCGGAAUUAUUGGGCGUAAAGAGCUUGUAGGCGGUCUGUCGCGUCUGCUGUGAAAAUCCGGGGCUCAACCCCGGACUUGCAGUGGGUACGGGCAGACUAGAGUGUGGUAGGGGAGACUGGAAUUCCUGGUGUAGCGGUGAAAUGCGCAGAUAUCAGGAGGAACACCAAUAGCGAAGGCAGCUCGCUGGGACGGUAUUGACGCUAAGGCGCGAAAGCGUGGGGAGCAAACAGG